UGAGGAAUAUUGAUCAAUGGGCGCGAGCCUGAACCAGCCAAGUAGCGUGAAGGAUGAAGGUCCUAUGGAUUGUAAACUUCUUUUAUAGCAGAAUAAAGUGACCCACGUGUGGGUUUUUGUAUGUAUGCUAUGAAUAAGGAUCGGCUAACUCCGUGCCAGCAGCCGCGGUAAUACGGAGGAUCCGAGCGUUAUCCGGAUUUAUUGGGUUUAAAGGGUGCGUAGGCGGAAAGAUAAGUCAGCCUGUGAAAGUUUGCGGCUCAACCGUAAAAUUGCAGUUGAUACUGUUUUUCUUGAGUGUACAUAAGGUAGGCGGAAUUCGUGGUGUAGCGGUGAAAUGCUUAGAUAUCACGAAGAACUCCGAUUGCGAAGGCAGCUUACCGGGGUACAACUGACGCUGAUGCACGAAAGUGUGGGUAUCAAACA
rnacentral:rRNA from 1 species